AUUGAACGCUGGCGGCAGGCCUAACACAUGCAAGUCGAACGGUAACAGGAAGCAGCUUGCUGCUUUGCUGACGAGUGGCGGACGGGUGAGUAAUGUCUGGGAAACUGCCUGAUGGAGGGGGAUAACUACUGGAAACGGUAGCUAAUACCGCAUAACGUCGCAAGACCAAAGAGGGGGACCUUCGGGCCUCUUGCCAUCGGAUGUGCCCAGAUGGGAUUAGCUAGUAGGUGGGGUAACGGCUCACCUAGGCGACGAUCCCUAGCUGGUCUGAGAGGAUGACCAGCCACACUGGAACUGAGACACGGUCCAGACUCCUACGGGAGGCAGCGGUGGGGAAUAUUGCACAAUGGGCGCAAGCCUGAUGCAGCCAUGCCGCGUGUAUGAAGAAGGCCUUCGGGUUGUAAAGUACUUUCAGCGGGGAGGAAGGGAGUAAAGUUAAUACCUUUGCUCAUUGACGUUACCCGCAGAAGAAGCACCGGCUAACUCCGUG
rnacentral:rRNA from 1 species